rnacentral:rRNA from 1 species
AAUCAACGCUGGCGGCGUGCCUAACACAUGCAAGUCGAACGCGAAAGCCCUUUCGGGGGUAAGUAGAGUGGCGUCCGGGUGAGUAACACGUAGGUAAUCUGCCUUCGGGUGGGGAAUAACCAGUCGAAAGAUUGGCUAAUACCGCAUAAUGCAGCGGCACCUAAUGGUGAUUAGUUGUUAAAGCGGGGGAUCGUAAGACCUCGCGCCUGAAGAGGAGCCUGCGGCAGAUUAGCUAGNGGUGAGGUAAUGGCUCGCCAAGGCUUCGAUCUGUAGCUGGUCUGAGAGGACGGCCAGCCACACUGGCACUGACACACGG